GACGGGGGGGGCAAGUGUUCUUCGGAAUUACUGGGCGUAAAGCGCACGCAGGCGGUUUGUUAAGUCAGAUGUGAAAUCCCCGAGCUUAACUUGGGAACUGCAUUUGAAACUGGCAAGCUAGAGUCUUGUAGAGGGGGGUAGAAUUCCAGGUGUAGCGGUGAAAUGCGUAGAGAUCUGGAGGAAUACCGGUGGCGAAGGCGGCCCCCUGGACAAAGACUGACGCUCAGGUGCGAAAGCGUGGGGAGCAAACAGG
rnacentral:rRNA from 1 species